UUGCCAUUGAAACAAUAACCCACUAACCUGGUCAGGACGGAAACGAAGCAGCCAAAUGAGGAAGUGUUGUGUUCAGUGGUUUUUU
rnacentral:SRP_RNA from 1 species